UACGUAGGGGGCAAGCGUUGUCCGGAUUUAUUGGGCGAAAGAGCGUGUAGGCGGCUUUACAGGUCCGUUGUGAAAACUCGAGGCUCAACCUCGAGACGCCGGUGGAAACCGUAAAGCUAGAGUCCGGAAGAGGAGAGUGGAAUUCCUGGUGUAGCGGUGAAAUGCGCAGAUAUCAGGAGGAACACCGAUGGCGAAGGCAGCUCGCUGGGACGGUACUGACGCUGAGGCGACGAAAGGCGUGGGGAGCAAACAGG
rnacentral:rRNA from 1 species